CACCAAAACUUCAUGUCAGGAUGUGUUUCUUUAGGUUUACAAGCGUAAAACUAAAAACCUUUUCAGGUCGCUACAAACGUGUCUGUUACUGUUUUGGAAAAUCAAUAGUGCAUGCCGCUUUUGUUUUCCCUUGAUGGCUGCUGCAAUUUAUGCUUUGGCUUCUUUUCGUUUUGAAAGGAAGCAUUGACCUUUUUGGUUUUUGCUAUUCAGUCAAAGUUGCGGCAUUUCAAAGGCUGUGAAGGGACACUUUUCAAUUUUCAAACCGUUUUGGUUUGAUCUUGGUUGAAAGGUGCAUUUUAUGGAGCAAACGGUCGCACCAAGAAUCUAAUUUGAGUUGAGCAGCUUUAAAGUUAUUUUACAUUGCUACUCGUAGUUUAGAAUCUUACAAUU
rnacentral:snoRNA from 1 species